GACGAACCGAGCGAACGUUGUUCGGAAUCACUGGGCUUAAAGGGCGCGUAGGCGGGUGCUCAAGUCCGGGGGUGAAAUCCCACAGCUCAACUGUGGAACUGCCUCGGAUACUGGGCGUCUCGAGGGUGGCAGGGGUAUGCGGAACUAUCGGUGGAGCGGUGAAAUGCGUAGAUAUCUGGAGGAACACCGGUGGCGAAGGCGGCAUUCUGGACCGAUAUUGACGCUGAGGAGCGAAAGCCAGGGGAGCAAACGGG
rnacentral:rRNA from 1 species